rnacentral:rRNA from 1 species
UACGUAGGGGGCAAGCGUUGUCCGGAAUCAUUGGGCGUAAAGAGCGUGUAGGCGGUUCGGUAAGUCGGCUGUGAAAGUCCAGGGCUCAACCCUGGGAUGCCGGUCGAUACUGCCGGACUAGAGUUCGGAAGAGGCGAGUGGAAUUCCCGGUGUAGCGGUGAAAUGCGCAGAUAUCGGGAGGAACACCUAUGGCGAAGGCAGCUCGCUGGGACGUUACUGACGCUGAGACGCGAAAUCGUGGGGAGCAAACAGG